rnacentral:misc_RNA from 1 species
GAUGAAGAACGCAGCGAAAUGCGAUAAGUAGUGUGAAUUGCAGAAUUCAGUGAAUCAUCGAAUCUUUGAACGCACAUUGCGCCCCUUGGUAUUCCAUGGGGCAUGCCUGUUCGAGCGUCAUUUGUACCUUCAAGCUUUGCUUGGUGUUGGGUGUUUGUCUCGCCUUUGCGUGUAGACUCGCCUUAAAAUAAUUGGUAGCCGGCGUAUUGAUUUCGGAGCGCAGUACAUCUCGCGCUUUGCACUCAUAACGACAGCGUCCAAAAGUACAUUUUACACUCUUGACCUCGGAUCAGGUAGGGAUACCCGCUGAACUUAAGCAUAUCAAUAAGCGGAGGA